GAUGAACGCUAGCUACAGGCUUAACACAUGCAAGUCGAGGGGUAACGAGAGGAAAGCUUGCUUUCCUUGCUGACGACCGGCGCACGGGUGAGUAACGCGUAUCCAACCUGCCCCCAACUAGGGAAUAACCUUGCGAAAGUAAGACUAAUACCCUAUAAUUUCCUCAGAUGUCAUCUGACGAGGAAUAAGGAUUUAUCGGUUGUGGAUGGGGAUGCGUCUGAUUAGCUUGUUGGCGGGGUAACGGCCCACCAAGGCAACGAUCAGUAGGGGUUCUUAGAGGAAGGUCCCCCACAUUGGAACUGGGACACGGUCCAAACUCGUACGGGAGGCAGCAGUUAGGAAUAUUGGUCAAUGGGCGGAAGCCUGAACCAGCCAAGUAGCGUGCAGGAUGACGGCCCUAUGGGUUGUAAACUGCUUUUAUACAGGAAUAAAGUUAGCCACGUGUGGUUAUUUGUAGGUACUGUAUGAAUAAGGACCGGCUAAUUCCGUGCCAGCCGCCGCCGUAA
rnacentral:rRNA from 1 species